CCUACGGGUGGCAGCAGUGAGGAAUAUUGGUCAAUGGGCGCGAGCCUGAACCAGCCAAGUAGCGUGAAGGAUGACUGCCCUAGGGGUUGUAAACUUCUUUUAUAAAGGAAUAAAGUGAGGCACGUGUGCCUUUUUGGAUGUACUUUAUGAAUAAGGAUCGGCUAACUCCGUGCCAGUAGCCGCGGUAAUACGGAGGAUCCGAGCGUUAUCCGGAUUGAUUGGGUUUAAAGGGAGCGUAGAUGGGUUGUUAAGUCAGUUGUGAAAGUUUGGGGCUCAACCGUAAAAUUGCAAUUGAUACUGGCAGUCUUGAGUACAGUUGGGGUAGGCGGAAUUCGUGGUGUAGCGGUGAAAUGCUUAGAUAUGACGAAGAACUCCGAUUGCGAAGGCAGCUUACUAAGCUGCCACUGACAUUGAUGCUCGAAAGUGUGGGUAUCAAACAGGAUUAGAUACCCGGGUAGUC
rnacentral:rRNA from 1 species